AGUUUCAUCACCUGCAAGAAAUCAUCAGCCUAUGAUAAUAACAGCCAGAGAUCAGCCUGGAUGCUCCUUCCAGCCCUACCGAAAUGGCUUCCAGCCAUCCGCCGCAUGGUGUAACAUUGCUCUUCAUGCUAUCAGCACCACCCCAAGAAGCCACAGUGGUGGCCUCGGAGCUACUGAGCUGCUCUGGGCUCUGCACACCCAGACAGAAGGUCUUAAAAGAGGGAGGAACGCGUCCAACUUCCCAGAAAGAAAACUGAGGCAGAGCUCAAGUAACAGAAGAGGAUGGACACCUCAUACAGGGAAAGCGACUUGGAGAUUCCAGGUUUUCUGGCCAUUUACUACAUUACCCACAGGCUCACCACACAGAGGAAGUUCCAUUUAUAAAUGCUUCUUCCUUCUGCUCUGCAAGUCACCAAGGCGACAGCAUGCACAGGGCCACCCCUGCCAACCUCCCCUGCCGCAGCAGGAUGGGCAGCGUUCCCAAGCAUUUCUAAAUAGAACGAUUAACAGAAAAUGAAGUUAUUGUUAAGAAUCACUUACUAAGUUGACGCUGAUUUAAGUUUGCAAGAGUAGCUGUCAUCUCAAAGCCAAGCUUGAGAUGUUCUAUUACACUCACAAGAGCUCUACUGAUCUCUCCAGCCCAGCUCCUGCAUCUCAGUCACGCACUGGACAUGACAAGUGGAGACGGAGCACUGAACCAUCCUGCACACAUCUGCUCAUCAAGGCAGCAAACAGCAGAAAUCCUAACACUGGCUGUCCAAAGGAAGAUGAAAUAAGAAAAGACAUGCUCUCUCAAUACCACGAGACUCACGAUAUUAUAGAAACAGAUGCCAGUAAAGCAGACAGAAAAAGCAACAUCUAUUACUAUUCACUGGGAACACUGUAUUUUCAGUAGCAUCACACGUAAAACGCCUGCACCUCUCCCCAUCAAAGUUAAGAGCAGAAUUCCCACCAGCUGGCCUAAGGAUCAGGCCCACUAUAUGUUUUAAAAAGUUAGAUCAGCAGCUUUCAAAGUCUCUAGAGGGUUUUUAUGAUGCUGCCUAAUUAAUUCAGAAGCAAACAGAUUAUUUCUCAGGAGGUGAAAAGCUGGAAUUAUUUAAAAGCUGCCUUUAGGCAAACUACCAGGGAAUAAGAAAAAUGUAACUACUGGUUAUGUCAGAUCUCAUUUUCCAGAUCAAAAUUCAUUGCGUCAGCUUCUUUUCUUUGUUGUGAUUCUUUAAAGAUGUAAUGAGAACCCUGCAUGUGUGGGAAAAAGAAGGUGCUGCUUUGCAGAGCAACGAAGCUCUUGAUACCCGAGAUCUAUGCUCUACUGUACUUUUCCAAUCUAAUAAAUAUCCUCUAAAUGGGACUUUGUGCUGGAGGGCAAGGCAGUCAAGGAAACAGAAGACAGAGGUGCUUUCCUCUCAUCUUCAGGUUGCCUCUGCAUGGGACAGGAAAGCUUUUCACACAUUGAAUUGCGCAAAUGAUAUUAUAGGUCAAUAAUUGAAGUGGCACAUGACUCUAACCCCUUAGACUAACUUCUGCAUAAAGGAAUAAUAGAGGACUCCUUAUCCAGUGGUCUUCUAAAUGAGUAAAGACAGGGUUGAGGGGAUAGCAGAGCUGCAGAUAAAGGCCCAUAGUAGGUCAGCAACAGAGCUAGGAUUAGCCAAGGUCUCUGCUUUUACCUGCCAACAAAGGCCGCCUCCAGGUCUGCAGGAUCUGCUGAAGCAACUGAAACUACACCCAUCUAUAUCAGCUCUAGUUCUGGCCAGGGAGGGUGGCAAAUGCUUUUAGAAAUCAUGGCUGGAACAUUAGAAGACAAAAAAAAGGCAAUAAACCUCAAAGCCCUAGUAAAAGUCAAUAAACCUA